CUUUCAGCCUUCUCUUCUGCAAAUUCCCAAUGGCAUUACUGCUGAGAGCACCGGUAGCUUUAGCUCUUUCGUUUGCCAUUUUGUGUGCUUCUGUUGGUGGUGGUGUGUCUCAAUCCUCUCUCCCGCUCCUUCCAGUGAUGGAACGACCAUAGACCAAGGGAUUGCAUACUUCUUGAUGCUUGUGGCUCUGAUCCUCACAUACCUCAUCCACCCACUUGAUGCCUCUUCCUUCCUCCCUUAAUUUCUUCUUUGUAUCUCUCACUUUCUUCAUUAAUUUUAACAUUUUUAUAUGAUUUGCUUCAUGGGCUACGAGAUCUUUUUUUUUUUGUGGUUUUAAUGUUUGUAUUUUUUUUAUUGUUAUUUAUAUGAUAAUUAACUAAACUUCUAUAUGUCGUAGUAGACUUUUUUCAUGAGGAAUUGAGCCUUUAAUUAUUA